GAUGAAGAACGCAGCGAAAUGCGAUAAGUAAUGUGAAUUGCAGAAUUCAGUGAAUCAUCGAAUCUUUGAACGCACAUUGCGCCCGCCAGUAUUCUAGCGGGCAUGCCUGUCCGAGCGUCAUUUCAACCCUCAGGGUCCCCGUUCCGGCGGGGAACCUGGUGUUGGGGAUCGGCCCGCCCCGUGCGGCGCCGUCCCCCAAAUUCAGUGGCGGUCUCGCUGCAGCCUCCCCUGCGUAGUAGUUACAACCUCGCAUCGGAGCUCAGCGCGGCCACGCCGUAAAACCCCCGACUUUCUGAACGUUGACCUCGGAUCAGGUAGGAAUACCCGCUGAACUUAAGCAUAUCAAUAAGCGGAGGA
rnacentral:misc_RNA from 1 species